rnacentral:sRNA from 1 species
AGGCACCUCUGCCUCCGUUUCCUCAUCUCUAAAAUGGGGUGAUGGUAGUACGUUAGCAGAGUGGUUGUGAGGAGUGAACGGGAGAGUUCGUAUGCAGGUUAUUAUGUAUAUAUUCCCAGGUGCUUGCUGUUACCAGGCCAUAUGGGUUAUUCACAGAUUGAAAUAUCUUAGCUGGGCACGGUGGCUCACCCCUAUAAUCCCAGUGCUUUGGGAGACCGAGGCAGCUAGAUCACCUGAGGUCAGGAGUUUGAGACCAGCCUGGCCAACAUGGUGAAACCCUGUCUCUACUAAAAAAAAAAACAAAUAAAUUAGCUGGGCAUGGUGGUGGGUGCCUAUAAUCCCAGCUACUUGGGAAGCUGGAGUGCAGUGGGGCAAUCUCUGCUCACUGCAACCUCCACCUCCUGGGUUCAAGCGAUUCUCUUGCCUCAGGCUCCCAAGUAGAUGGGAUUACAGGCAUAUGC